UCCUAAUCACAAGUCCUGCUUCUCAAUCUGUUUUGAUUUUUCUUAAAUGGCCUAUCUAUCAAAUAGUGUUUUUUGUCUACUUAUGUGCCUGGACCUAUGCUUGGGACUAUGGAGGAGUCAAAAAGCCUUAAGACCCUUCCAGAUGCUGGGGCUGAGUUGGAGAGAUCAGCAAGUUGUGGAGAAAGGUUCCUCACCCUCCAUCACCCCCCAGGAGAUGCCUGAUCGCUCUGGCCUGACUUCAGCAGGAAUCCUGUUAGUUCACUUUACCCAGGAUCCCUCCUUCCUCCUGAUGUGCCUUUCGAACCCUAGGGCAGGUUCUGGACUCCCAUAUCCUUCAGACUGCUGAGCAACGGAAAGAGCUAGAUCAGGAAAAUAUUCAGCACAGCCGUCAAGGUCAGCAAACCGCUUUUUCCCUCCGGUUGGCAAAGCCCUCCCAGCUCCCACCUCCCCUCCUCCGGGCUCCUCUUUUGCUCUGCGCAUGCCAAAAAGCCACAUAUCAAAAUAAUAUAAAUUGCUCCCCCUGCUUGUGUGCAGGGCUCUGA